UGGGGAAUAUUGCACAAUGGGGGAAACCCUGAUGCAGCGACGCCGCGUGAGUGAAGAAGUAUUUCGGUAUGUAAAGCUCUAUCAGCAGGGAAGAAAAUGACGGUACCUGACUAAGAAGCCACGGCUAACUACGUGCCAGCAGCCGCGGUAAAACGUAGGUGGCAAGCGUUGUCCGGAAUUACUGGGUGUAAAGGGAGCGCAGGCGGAAGGACAAGUUGGAAGUGAAACCCACGGGCUCAACCCGUGAACUGCUUUCAAAACUGUUUUUCUUGAGUGGUGUAGAGGUAGGCGGAAUUCCCGGUGUAGCGGUGGAAUGCGUAGAUAUCGGGAGGAACACCAGUGGCGAAGGCGGCCUACUGGGCACUAACUGACGCUGAGGCUCGAAAGCAUGGGUAGCAAACAGGAUUAGAUACCCUGGUAGU
rnacentral:rRNA from 1 species